UAACUAUUUGAUGAUAGAUGAGAUAAGUAAAUAUAUAGAUUACCAGAUGAAAUAGAAAUAGAUUCACAGAGGAUCCAGUUAAUAUAAUAAUACUUUAAAAGACACAAAUGUUUUGUCUUGGCUAAAGUUUAAUAACCAGCUGGUCUUAAUUUCUACUUACCAUUAGAGCACCCAGUGAUCAUAUUGUGGGGUUUUUAUUGUUGUUGUUUGUUCUGGAUUUUCACCCAUCAGAUUUGACCAAUUUUACCUGACUUGGUCAAAUCUGUGUGAGAAUUCCAAGUUCUGGGUAACAAAGCCUCUCUAAUUUGGACAAAAAAAACAUGCACUUAGUUUACGAGUUUUCGUCUUGUUUUUUUAAAAAACAAAAGUUCUUUCAUUUACUUUUCUUCCACCCUGUACCUCCUGCCCCCUUUGCCAUCUGUAGUACCAAAAAAUCUAAAGGAGUCAUAUAAUGACUUGAACCACUUUAAAGAAUUCACCUGUUUUGGGGUAUUCUGUUUUCUUGGUGGAGUUUCAAGAGUCAUGGGCAGCUUCUUCUUAGGUCUAAAGCUCUGUUUUCCUGUAUUGCAUGACUUGGCCUCUUUGGCUUUGGGGAUCACAGAGAUUACCUUGUACUGUGAGAGGAUUUGACCUUGGCAUGUGUAAUGAUGCCUCCUGUUCUAAAAAUAGUUACUAUAUGCCUCCUGCUUUCAAUAGGCCCACCAUUUGAGGCCUUGAUUAUACAAUAAUGAUUAAAAUAAGUGGUUGAACUGUAAGGCCGUACCAAUACUGGUUAGUGUGAGAGCAUGCAAUAUCUCAUUGCCACAGAAAGAUGGUUCAUACAUUAAAGUUAUCUUAAUAAAGAUUAAUACAUUCUAUUUAUAUGUUCACAUGUCACUGUGACUAGUAUUACU
rnacentral:lncRNA from 1 species